GAGUGUGGCGUAGUGGUUUGAGCAUUGGACUACCACUCUGGAGAUCAGGGUUCGAUUACCCUCUCUGCCA